UAGGGCAGGUGUCAAAAUUACAGUGACUGAGUGGUACUGGCUUUAAGGCUUCAAAGUGGUUUCCAAUGUCAAGUGGGACUGUGCAACACUGGAGCCAAACCCCCCCAAAGGAACCUGGCCUCAAGUGGGUUGGUAAGUUGUGCUCCCAGGAUGGACACACAGUACACCAGGCAUCCCACUCUGAAUACCACAAUGGGACCUGACUUCAAGUGGGAUGGCUGGACGGGGCCCAGCGUGGAGGCACACUGGAACCACCCAUGCUACCCAAGCAUCCACAAUGGGACCUGUCUUCAAGUGGGAUGGCAAGCUGGGGCCCAGCCUGGCGGCACACUUGAACCACUCAUGCUACCCAAGGAUCCACAAUGAGACCUGAGUAUGCCACUCUGGAACUGGUUGGGACCGUCCUGAACCCAACUGGAACAACUGUGGUGCCAGUCUGGGACCAUCCUAGAUUUUUGCCUGGGAAAGACUAUAACAGAACUAGAUGAACGCGCGUCAACACACCGGUGGACGCGUCAUCACAACAUCAUGCGCGCGGGAAGAAUUCGAAAAUAUUUUAGAAGGAAGAAAAAUGCACAUAUAUAUUUCGCUGCGCUGAGCAUUCCGGGAUUGCCGUUUUCAAGUCAUUUUCUCCAGCAAGGUGAUCUAAAUAUACGUGAAAGUAUUGUACGCGUGCAGCAGUUGGAUAUUGCCACAUGUGCGCCACGAAGUCUCUGAGGCAGUGAAUAAACUCACAUGACCAUAUGACUCUCGUUUUUCAGGAUAGCGAAGACGGGUGGAUGUGAUGCCGGCCACCUUGAUCCGUGCUACCAAGAUCUCAUCCCUAGAUAUAAGGACGACUUGAAUAAAAGCCUAUGCCACACAACGGCAGACACGCAAACGGCGCCUAUAUUUUCAGGAGCAGUGGGAUUCGACGUAGAUAAAUUCUGUGAGGCGAAGGCUGCCCUGCAAGGAAAAAAAGCUGGCAGAGGCUCCACAGUGACCGAAUCGUGCACCACGUCGUGUGGGUUUCCGGACUACGCGUAUCAAAUCCUCUUCCUUGGUUCAUGCAAGGCGCCGCAGACAUCCGCAUGCUUCGACGACGACUAUGAG